rnacentral:rRNA from 1 species
AUUGAACGCUGGCGGAAUGCUUUACACAUGCAAGUCGAACGGCAGCACGGGGGCAGCCCUGGUGGCGAGUGGCGAACGGGUGAGUAAUACAUCGGAACGUGCCCGGUCGUGGGGGUAAAGGUGCGAAAGGUAAGCCAAAUACGCAAACCAACCGAAGAAGAAAGGGGGGGACCUUUGGGCCUCGCGCGGUCGGGGCGGCCGAUGUCAGAUUAGGUAGUUGGUGGGGUAAAGGCCUACCAAGCCGACGAUCUGUAGCUGGUCUGAGAGGACGACCAGCCACACUGGGACUGAGACACGGCCCAGACUCCUACGGGAGGCAGCAGUGGGGAAUUUUGGACAAUGGGCGCAAGCCUGAUCCAGCCAUUCCGCGUGCAGGACGAAGGCCUUCGGGUUGUAAACUGCUUUUGUACGGAACGAAAAGGCUCUGGCUAAUACCUGGGGCUCAUGACGGUACCGUAAGAAUAAGCACCGGCUAACUACGUG